UCGACACUAUGCCAUGUAAAGAGAUUAGAAAGUAUUGCACGUUGUGAUUGUUUUUUAAUUUUUUGAAAGAAAAAUUGCAAAUGUUUUUGAUCGAACUACUAUGACUUUUGGCGUUCGACGUACCUUCUUUCAAGUGCUUUAACUGUCUUGUUUAGCACGAGCCACUUUUCUACUAAUCAUUGUGUUUUUUUUUAAACUUGGCUUGUUUUUAAAUUGGGCGUGUUUUAUUUAGGGUGACAUUUUGAACUCCCAAAACCCCAGAAGGAAGCGAGUAUGGCCACUAUUAGAUUCGGGAGUAGCGUUGGUCCGUCCGAGUAGGGUUGGAAAUGUAGAGCUGCUGGAGAAGUUUCAGGUGCCUGUUAACACCUGCACAAACCCUUCACCCUAUGAGGACUGGGAAACAGAGGCUGAUGAUAAUGCUGCUAUGUUUGUCUGGGGUGCGUCCAACAAUCAGCUUGCCCAAAACAAGCCAGAGCCAUCUACCACCAUCAGUUUAUCCGAUGGACUCCGGGCACCACGGACUCUUCCAUGGAAACUCUGAUGUCACCACUGGAUGGACUUUACCUACUAAUCUUACUUGAUACUUUAAGCCCUGUGUGAUUUCUAGCCUAACUUGUUUAAAGUCUACUUAUAUUUUAAAGUUUUUAAUUUUUAAAGUGUUGUGAAAUUUCCCUUUUCCUAUUUUCUACAAGGUAAUACACUCUGUAAACGGUUAUGGUCCAUGUGUAGAGAUGCUCCUUAUUAAAGCAAAGAAUUGUCAUUUUCAAGUGAGACCCCAUUCAGUGCCAAUCUAUCUGGACCUUUUGCUUUUUGUGGAAGUGGUUCUUUAAUCCUGAUCUGUAUGAUUCAUUAAAGAUUUUAGUGCAAGCCUC